rnacentral:rRNA from 1 species
UACAGAGGGUGCGAGCGUUGUCCGGAAUCACUGGGCGUAAAGGGCGCGUAGGCGGCGCGGGAAGUCCAUGGUGAAAGUCCGAGGCUCAACUUCGGGUCGGCCAAGGAUACUCCCGGGCUCGAGCACUGUAGAGGCAGGUGGAAUUCCGGGUGUAGCGGUGGAAUGCGUAGAGAUCCGGAAGAACACCGGUGGCGAAGGCGACUUGCUGGGCCGUACCUGACGCUGAUGCGCGAAAGCUAGGGGAGCGAACCGG